UAUAUGUCAAUAAAGUUUAAGUCUUUAUCUGUCGUAAUCUGGUAUUUUUAUAUCUGUAACACAUGUCUGAAUGUGUUUUAUAUUUGUUUGAAAAGUAUCAGUUACGUCAACAAAUUUCACCGUUUUGCGUGUACCGAUCGACCCCACACUGUUUUAUUUGGUCGCGGCUUCGCGACGAAGCAUCGUAGAAGCAUAAUCUUAAUGUCAUUUUAAAGAUCGAAUUCUAGGCUAUCGUUUGAUGUAUAAAUUGAAAAAAUAACUUGUUUAUUUCAUUUAAAAAAUACAGAUUUUAAACUUUAAAUGACGAUAUAUACACGGAAACAAACUAAUUCUGUUUCAAUUUUUACACCGAUGUAAAGUUCAGUUUUAUAACUACUUUGUGUUGUAAAUUCAAGUAUUUCUGAUUUACGGUCGCGAAGCCGUACCCCCAAUAAACAUAUAACCCUCGAGUCGACUUUCAGCCCCAAGUAAGUUGCUCGCCGAACGGUUUUAAAGGUUGACGACCGAUGAUGCUAAACGGAUUUUACCCUUGCUAGAGCCUUCAAACAAGUUCUGGAGACAUUUACAGUGGCCUAUCCAGAACUUUCCUUACAAGGGAAGGGAAGAAGGCCAAGACCCCACUCCCCCCUACAAUUCCCAAAACAUAUUACUUACUCUUGAUGCUCCACAAGAUCAAGGUUGAGGGAAACAAGACGUACAAAGAUGUGGAGUUGUAGUUUUAAAAACUGUUCCCCCAAAGCAGUUAUCAACCGUAUAGGUUUGAAAAGAAACCAAAGCAUGUGGCAUCAACUGCUGCAUCACUUGUAGG